UACGGAGGGUGCAAGCGUUAUCCGGAUUCACUGGGUUUAAAGGGUGCGUAGGUGGAUUGGUAAGUCAGUGGUGAAAUCUCCGGGCUUAACCCGGAAACUGCCAUUGAUACUAUCAGUCUUGAAUACCGUGGAGGUCAGUAGAAUAUGUCAUGUAGCGGUGAAAUGCUUAGAUAUGACAUAGAACACCAAUUGCGAAGGCAGCUCACUACCCAGAUAUUGACACUGAGGCACGAAAGCGUGGGGAUCAAACAGG
rnacentral:rRNA from 1 species